GUAGUCCACGCCGUAAACGAUGGAUACUAGCUGUUCGGUUGUAAGACUGAGUGGCUAAGCGAAAGUGAUAAGUAUCCCACCUGGGGAGUACGGGCGCAAGCCUGAAACUCAAAGGAAUUGACGGGGGCCCGCACAAGCGGUGGAGCAUGUGGUUUAAUUCGAUGAUACGCGAGGAACCUUACCAGGGCUUAAAUGUAGUUUGACCGCUUAGGAAACUAGGCUUUCGCAAGACAAAUUACAAGGUGCUGCAUGGUUGUCGUCAGCUCGUGCCGUGAGGUGUCAGGUUAAGUCCUAUAACGAGCGCAACCCCUGUUGUUAGUUGCCAGCGAGUCAUGUCGGGAACUCUAGCAAGACUGCCAGUGUAAACUGUGA
rnacentral:rRNA from 1 species